rnacentral:rRNA from 1 species
UACGGAGGGUGCGAGCGUUGUUCGGAAUCACUGGGCGUAAAGCGCGUGUAGGCGGCCUCUUAAGUCCGAUGUGAAAGCCCGGGGCUCACCCCCGGAAGUGCAUCGAAUACUGGGAGACUCGAGUACCGGAGAGGAAAGUGGAAUUCCUGGUGUAGCGGUGAAAUGCGUAGAUAUCAGGAGGAACACCGGUGGCGAAGGCGGCUUUCUGGACGGAUACUGACGCUGAGACGCGAAAGCGUGGGGAGCAAAC